UCCCAUGCCAUCUGUUUAGUACUGCAUACUUUUGCAAUCUGUCCAGAGAAUGCCCAUUGCUGGACAGAAAGAUGAGAGAUACGGAACAUUCCCACUAGUGUUUGCAGGUGUUCAAUCAGGAUCCCGCAGGGAACUGACAGGCAGUGGGCAGUAAAGAGAGGAAGUAAAGACAAAACAUCACUUGCACAACAUAUAAUUUAAGCUGUCUUGGGAAUGAUUCAACAAAAAGAAAAUGUUUUUUUUUUAAGAAAUAACUUUAAGGAACUUGUCGGUCUGCUUCACACUUAA